CAAUAGACCCGGAACCUGAGGGAUCGGAAUCCUGGUCCACUCCGCAGAGGCCCGAGCGGGCUUGCCAGGGAACCGGUUCUCCGGGUUUGGCCGGAGACGGGGUUUCACCAUGUUGGCCGGGCUGGUCUUGAACUCCUGACCUCAGGUGAUCCACCCACCUCGGCCUCCCAGAGUGCUGGGAUUACAGGUGUGAACCACCACUCCCAGCCCCAGACUGCACUUCUGACCCUUGUUGCCUCCUGGAUUGUCUUCCUGAGACCUUCCAGCUCACCAUGUCCAGAAUGGCCCUCAGCAGGUCCCGCCUGUCACACACACACCUGAGCCUCCUCCCAUUGAAGAGACAGCUUCACUGUCCACCUGCUCCCAUGGCCAGACCUGGGCGUCAUCUCUGUCCCCUUGCUCUCCUGUAACCUCAUCGUGCUCCCCGAAGGACACCAGCCCAAUGGAGAUGGUCUGCAGGAAUGGCCGGAUGGCAGGCGUGAACUGUGGAGAGACGCAGCUGCGUCACCCACCGCUCAAGAGAGGGAUGGGGACAGGGCAGGAGCG